rnacentral:rRNA from 1 species
AUUGAACGCUGGCGGCAUGCCUAACACAUGCAAGUCGAACGAGUGGCGGACGGGUGAGUAAUGUCUGGGAAACUGCCUGAUGGAGGGGGAUAACUACUGGAAACGGUAGCUAAUACCGCAUACCAUCGGAUGUGCCCAGAUGGGAUUAGCUAGUAGGUGGGGUAAAGGCUCACCUAGGCGACGAUCCCUAGCUGGUCUGAGAGGAUGACCGGCAAUACUGGAACUGAGACACGGUCCAGAAUCCUACGGGAGGCAGCAGUGGGGAAUAUUGCACAAUGGGCGAAAGCCUGAUGCAGCCAUGCCGCGUGUAUGAAGAAGGCCUUCGGGUUGUAAAGUACUUUCAGCGGGGAGGCGUUACCCGCAGAAGAAGCACCGGCUAACUCCGUGCCAGCAGCCGCGGUAAUAC